UGGAUGUGCCAAAUGCUACAGCUUCAAUUCUUUCUAAAAUCUCAAAAGGGCCAACAUAUCGAGGACUGAGUUUUUCAUAAACUCCAAAUCGCAUUACCCCUUUAGUGGGAGAUACUCUCAAAAAUAUAUGAUCUUUGAUCUGAAAUUCUAAUUCUCACCUCCUAUAAUCUGUAUAACUCUUCUAUCUACUUUGAGCUAUCUAAAGGCAUUCUCUGAUCAUCGAAUCUUUUCAACUAUGUCCGCUGAAUAAUCUAUGGGCCCAUUAAUUUUCUUUCACCCACAUCAUCCCAAC
rnacentral:lncRNA from 1 species